AAUCAAGUGAAGAAAUAACUCUUCUAAAAACGGUGGGAAAUGACUCAACUAAUACCAGUAGCCAAAUUUGUGAAGUAGCAUAUGCUCCCUUCUAGGAGAUAGCUGUCAUUUUUGGAACUUCUGAGUCUCUCUGUGCCAGUGGAAGAUGACUGAAGAAGACAGUUUAUGAGAUGGCCUAACACCCAAUAUAGAGGACUAGUGUUCUCAGGAACCAAUUACAAAUGGAUUUUCAUCAAUCUGAACUAUCAGUGUACAGCAGAGAGGAGAGAGAUUAAAGCAAGAAAUCAAGAAAGGAUGCUCAUGAAUAUCAAAGGAAGAAGCCCUGCUUCCCUGUCAGGUAACAAGCCUAAAAGCCUGGAGCAUCUUGGUUAAGAAGGACAACAAUAACUUCAAAGCACCUCAAGAGAGAGCAGAACACAUCGGUGAAGUAGGGAGAGGAGAUACCAUGCCCACGUUACAGAAGAAGAGCACAGACCUACAGAGGAGACUAAGUAAAACAGUUCUCAAGCCCAGGUCUUGUGACUUCAGCAGAGUUUGGCAGCUGAAAAUCCUGGACACUAAUUCACAUCCAAAUCUCUUGAAAUUCCUGAACCUGGACCAGGAAUCUGUUCAUGCUAAACUGCAUCUCUCCAUGGCCUACAGGGAAAUAUAUUGUCAAGAAGAAGGUGAUGGUUAAGGACAUUUACAGAAAAUGAUUCACACUAAAACAUGGCAAUUCUCUUAUUUCCUAAACCCAAGGCCCCUUCUCCUCUAAGGGUAGAAGUAGAAAUGUUUGGGAAAAGUCCAAAGUCCACUUCUCUCUUACCAUGGAAUGAGACAGAGAGGAGGGAGAUCCCUCCUGGUUUGAGUUCCCAUUCCGGGUAUUCUCUUAUAAGAAAAUAAGAAAGAGAUAAAGAGAGAGGAAACAGAAUAAGAAGUACAGAGAUGGAAAUGGAGUGAGAAAGAGUAGCACAGAAGGAGGGAGAGAUGAAGAGUUGAGAGGCACAGUGAGUUAGAGGAAAGCAAAAGAAGAGAGUAAGAAGAAAGUAGAGACAGAAAGAUGGAGAGAGGAAUGGAAGACAAGGAGAGAAAGAGAAAAAGGGAAUUAAAGAAAAAAGCUUUGUUUUCUGUUAGCGCUGUGAUCCUCACCUCUUUAAAACUGAGAUAAUGUGGGGCACCUGGGUGGCUCAGUCAGUUGAGCAUCUGGCUUCAGCUCAGGUCAUAAUCCUGAGGUUCAUGAAUUUGAGCCCUGUGUCAGGCUCU